UUGAUAUUGUCCGGGUAUCGGUCUCCACUCCGGAGACCUACCCCAUCAAUGUCAAACU
rnacentral:pre_miRNA from 1 species